CAGAUUGAACGCUAGCGGGAUGCUUUACACAUGCAAGUCGGACGGCAGCGCGAGGUAAGCUUGCUUACUUUGGCGGCGAGUGGCGAACGGGUGAGUAAUGUAUCGGAACGUGCCCAGUAGCGGGGGAUAACUACGCGAAAGCGUGGCUAAUACUGCAUACGCCCUACGGGGGAAAGGGGGGGAUCUUCGGACCUCUCACUAUUGGAGCGGCCGAUAUCGGAUUAGCUGGUUGGUGGGGUAAAGGCCUACCAAGGCGACGAUCCGUAGCUGGUUUGAGGGGACGACCAGCCACACUGGGACUGAGACACGGCCCAGACUCCUACGGGAGGCGGCAGUGGGGAAUUUUGGACAAUGGGGGCAACCCUGAUCCAGCCCUCCCGCG
rnacentral:rRNA from 1 species